ACCGAAUAGAUACCCCGGUAGUCCACGCCGUAAACGAUGGAUGCUAGCUGUUAGGAGUAUCGACCCUUCUAGUAGCGAAAGCUAAACGCGUUAAGCAUCCCGCCUGGGGAGUACGGUCGCAAGAUUAAAACUCAAAGGAAUUGACGGGGACCCGCACAAGCGGUGGAGCGUGUUCUUUAAUUCGAUGAUAAGCGAAGAACCUUACCAGGACUUGACAUCCAGGGAAGCACUACGAAACGUAGAGUGUGCCUUUUGGAACCCUGUGACAGGUGCUGCAUGGCCGUCGUCAGCUCGUGUCGUGAGAUGUUUGGUUAACGUCCAUU
rnacentral:rRNA from 1 species